AGCGAACGCUGGCGGCAGGCCUAACACAUGCAAGUCGAACGAACUCUUCGGAGUUGGUGGCGGACGGGUUAGUAACCCGUGGGAACGUGCCUUUUGGUUCGGAAUAACUCAGGGAAACUUGUGCUAAUACCGAAUGUGCCCUUCGGGGGAAAGAUUUAUCGCCAUUAGAGCGGCCCGCGUCUGAUUAGCUAGUUGGGGAGGUAACGGCUCACCAAGGCGACGAUCAGUAGCUGGUCUGAGAGGAUGACCAGCCACACUGGGACUGAGACACGGCCCAGACUCCUACGGGAGGCAGCAGUGGGGAAUCUUGCGCAAUGGGCGAAAGCCUGACGCAGCCAUGCCGCGUGAAUGAUGAAGGUCUUAGGAUUGUAAAAUUCUUUCAACGGGGACGAUAAUGACGGUACCCGGAGAAGAAGCCCCGGCUAACUUCGUG
rnacentral:rRNA from 1 species